AUUCAGCUGACGAGUCUUAAAUAGGACGAAACACACGUCAAACUGAAU
rnacentral:hammerhead_ribozyme from 1 species